rnacentral:ncRNA from 1 species
AUGAGUGCCUGUACAUCCCAAAUUCUUCGCCGCUGCGCCAGACUUGACGGCCGUUUCCGGUUUUUCCCGGGUGCCGUCGGAGUCGUGAGGCGCAACGCGAGCACUGUAGGCGAGCCGCUUGCCCCGUACGCCGGGGCGGCGGCUUUUUUA